UACAGGGGGUGCAAACGUUGCUCGGAAUCAUUGGGCGUAAAGCGCUCGCAGGUGGUCCGUCGCGUCGUGCGUGAAAGCCCCCGGCUCAACUGGGGAGUGUCGUGCGAUACGGGCGGACUGGAGGCCAGUAGGGGGAUGCGGAAUUCCGGGUGUAGUGGUGGAAUGCGUAGAGAUCCGGAGGAACACCAGCGGCGAAGGCGGCAUCCUGGACUGGUCCUGACACUCAUGAGCGAAAGCGUGGGGAGCGAUCCGG
rnacentral:rRNA from 1 species